UUUUCUUCGUUUGAUUUUCAGCAACUGAUUUAUGUUCUUUGAAUUUAUCAAAAGCUUCAUAUUUUGUUCUCAUUUGAUACACGAAAGUAUAAUGAAAACUAUAAUCUACAAAUAUCAGAAUGUAUGAGUUCUAACAAUUUUGUAUUUCUUUUAACUUUAAGAGAAGGUUUCUUAGCCAUUUUUGCUCUGACAUAGUUUUCACAUUUUUAAUGCCACGAUUUUUUUGC
rnacentral:lncRNA from 1 species